GACGAACGCUGGCGGCGUGCCUAAUACAUGCAAGUUGAGCGCUGAAGGUUGGUACUUGUACCAACUGGAUGAGCAGCGAACGGGUGAGUAACGCGUGGGGAAUCUGCCUUUGAGCGGGGGACAACAUUUGGAAACGAAUGCUAAUACCGCAUAAAAACUUUAAACACAAGUUUUAAGUUUGAAAGAUGCAAUUGCAUCACUCAAAGAUGAUCUCGCGUUGUAUUAGCUAGUUGGUGAGGUAAAGGCUCACCAAAGGGAUGAAACAUAGCCGACCUGAGAGGGGGGUCGGCCAACUUGGGACUGGGACAAGGCCCAAACUCCUACGGGAGGCAGCAGGAGGGAAUCUUCGGCAAUGGACGGAAGGCUGACCGGGCAAAGCCGCGGUAGGGAAGAAAGUUUUCGGAUCGUAAAACUCUUUUGGUAGAGAAGAACGUUGGUGGGAGUGGAAAGCUCAUCAAGUGACGGUAACUACCCAGAAAGGGACGGCUAACUACGUG
rnacentral:rRNA from 1 species